CUUGUCACGACCCAAAAACCGACACGGUUGUGAUGGCGCCUAUCGUGAAACUAGGCUAGCCGACACAACUCCUGAAUCAACCAUUAUUCAAUAAAAGUUAUUUUUAUACCAUUUAUUAAUUAAUAAUCUCAUGAUGUAAGUUUAAAUGAAUAGUGCAAAAUAAAUACACUAGCCCGACAUCGGGGUGUCACUAGUCAUGAACAUCUUCUAAAAUCUGAAUACAACGAAAAGUUUGAAAACGUACUAAAUACAGUCCAAUGAAAACAAGUGGGAGAAAAGCUGUGCUGCGAAUCCUGGGCAGCUACCUUGCUAAACUCCGAUGACUCUGCCUCUGAGCGAUCAACACCCACUACCGGGUUCAGAAAUAUCUGAAUCUGCAUAUAAGGUGCAGGGAGUAAUGUGAGUACUCCAACUCAGUAAAUAAUAAAAGUAAAUAAAGUCUGAGCAAUAAGAAAUCACGUAAACCGCGUCAUAGCACCACAGUGAUUGCAGCAUGUUACCAAAACAGGAUACCAUUCAAAUCAUUUCGUUAAACUUCCAACUUCAGUAAAAUACUUUGGAAAAUAUCUUUCUAACCUUUUCAAUAGAUUUUUAAUGAAAUAUAUAUAUAUAGUGAAAGUGAUGAAAAUCAUAAUCGGCCCCUCGGGCAAAACAUAUUUCGUAUACAGCCCCUCGGCAAAACAGAAAUUCAUAACCAUUUCAUAACUUAAAAACUUUAGUUCAAAUGAAAGUUGUUUAACGCAUUUGUUCAACAUUUUCAAUGGAGGCUCGGUCUAAAGAUGAGUGAAAGCAGUAACUAAAUCAACAUAUUCAAUAGUUACUCACUUUAAGGAGGAGUGAAAACAGGAAGUUCAUAAACAGGCCCCUCAGGCAAAGCAUCAGUCGUAUACAUGUACAUAUAUAGCCCCUCAGGCAAGCCUCUCAGUCACUCAUGACUCAACUCUUAUCAAUCAGUGCUCACACUCAGCACUCACGCUCAAUAGGUACCAUAUAAUAUUCAAUGCAGCGUGCAACCCAAUCCCUACAUCGCUACGGCGUGCAGCCCAAUCCAUAUAUAUAGUCGAUUGCGCUCACUGGGGGUGUGCAGACUCCGGAGGGGCUCCUCCAGCCCUAGUGCUAUAUCGCUGCGGUGCGCAGCCCGAUCCAACAUAUCGUAGCGGCGUGCAACCUGAUCCAUAUAUCGAUGUUGUGUGUAGCCCGAUCCAUAUACAUAUAUAUAUAUAUAUAUAUAUAUUAUUGCGGCGUACAGCCCGAUCCAUAAAUAUAUAAUCCUCACAACCAGGCCUUCGGCCUCUCUGAGUCAUUAAUCUCACAAUCAGACUCUUGGUCUAUCUUAGUCAUCAAUCUCACAAUUAGGCCUUCGGCUUCUCUCAAUCAUCAACCUUACAAAUCACUCGGACUAUCAGUAAAAUAGGGCGUACAGAUUAAAUAUCAUUUAUAGUGCCAAAAUUUAGUAGAUAAGGCUGAGUUAGGAAAUUUUAAAAAAAUGCAGCAUGACCGAGUACAAUUAUUAAGUCAAAACAGUGAGAAAAAAGUAGUAAAAGUCCCAUAAUGGUCCAAAACAGUCGGCACGAUGCCCAAACAUAGCAUUUAACCCAAAACAUGAUAAUAACAAACAGUUUUCAAUCAAAUACGCAGCAAAACAGUCAUACGGGACGAACAUAAGUCACAAUCCCCAACGGUGCACGACCCCACGCUCGUCAUCUAGUAUGUGUGUCACCUCAAAAUAUCACAACGAUGUGAAAUCUGGGGUUCAAACCCUCAGGACAACAUUUAUAAUCAUUACUUACCUCUAUCCUGUCCAAACUCUAGCACGCGAUGCCUUUGCCUCUCGAAUCAGCCUCCAAUUGCUCUAAAAAUAACCAAAAUCAGUUCCACAUCACUAAUACAUGCUAAAGGAACGAAGCCCAAGCGAAAAUAAUCGAAUUAACUCAAAAAUCCUGAAAUUGGCCAAACCCGACCCCCGGGCCUACGUCUCGGAACCCAACAAAAAUUACAUCAAUAGAAUCCCCAUCCUCCCACGAGUCUAUACAUAUUAAGAACAUCAAAAUCGGACCUCAAAUGGCCCAUCAAAUCCCUACUCAAAAGUCUCUUAAUCUCAAGCCCUGAUUGCCACACCUCCUUUUUACCUACACCCCUAUAAGGGUAUAAAGAGAGUUUUUUCCAAUUAAAGUGAUAAUCAAAACGGGAUUAAUUUUUAGAUUCAGCGUCGCCACUUGGGAUAAUUUAUGGUGUCCCAAGUCACUGAUUUUAAAUCCCGAAUCGAGGAAAGAUUGACUCUGUUCUAUAGUCCGCGAACGCAGAAAUCUGGAUAAGGAAUUCUGUUAACCCGGGAGAAGGUGUUAGGCAUUUCCGGGUUCUGUGGUUCUAGCACGGUCGUUCAACUAUUACAAUUGGCCUAUUAUCUGAUUUUAAUACAUGUUUUAGCCUAUGGUUCAAUUUUAACUUUAUAACUGCUUUUAUUUAUUUUUAAGGAAGAUUGCAACGUCAUUUAAAAUAUGUCUUGAACCACGUCAUAUAAAUGCACCCACAGUCCGCAACACAUUUUAUCUAAUGUUGUUGAGAUUUGGAUUUGGGUCACAUAAAUGCGCACCCGAGUUUAGGAAGUAAACUAUUAAAUAGCCCACCUAAAGCAACUACGCAUUUUAAAUCUGCGAGGGCCAAGGAGAUUCAACUAAAUGGCACGCCUCGAAUUCUAAGGAUAAAAAUUAAUUGAGUGAGGACCAUGGGUUUCGGAAUUUUAUUUGGUAUGGCACGCCUCGAAUUAUUCCAAAGGGUUGUAUUAUUCGAAGUUGUUAUGAUCGGGUCACAUAAAAUGCACCCCCAAAUUUUGUAAUUAGGCAUCGUAACUACGUCACGGAAACCGUACCCAUAGUCACAAUGGUUUAUUAAUCGUGCCUAAAGCAACUAGCGCAUUUGAGUUAUUUUUAAAUUUUUGAGGUUAUUGAAGUCGAGAGCUAGGGAACCAUGUAUUGGAUUGGAAUAAGUGUUGGCAAUUCAACAUUCAUCAACUGUGAGCCUAACCUCAUGCCCAGUUGAAGCAAACACUACGUCCUAAAAUUCCAUAAAAGCCGAAGUCCAUUGGCACAUAAAGGAAAUUCAAAUUUUGAAGUACUACAACCACAACUUUCAUUUCAACUUUCUGAUUCUUAAUAGUCAAUGACAAUAAUACAUAGACAAGCAAGUCAUAAAGAAUGAACAGUAAUGGUCAAAAGCAUGAAACUAAGGAAUGAAAAUUCACAGAAUAGGUCAUAGAAAAGACUGUUGAAAACUUGAACGUUGAAACCAUCAUCCAAUUUGUAGAAAUUGAAGUAAUAACUAAAAAAAACUUGUCUACUGUUGUUCUUUGUUUUUCUUUUUAACUGAAGUAGGAGUAAUUUAUUUAUUUAUUCUCUCAAAUAACCACUUUAAUCUCUCAAAUUCAUGUCUAAAACCACACAAAAUAAAUUUGCAUUACUUACAGACAUAACAUCCCAUCGGUAUCUAUGUAUCAUGCUAUUUGAAAAUAAAUCAAAGAAGCAAUGAUCUAAUUACAUGAUUAUUCCAACAAAAUUUAAUCAUGUAUGAGUAAUAAAUAACUAGCUCAAUCUCGUAAACUAAAGGAACUCAUUUCAUUGUUCCAACAUUCUUCACGUCAAAUAAAGGAUCUUAAGUUUCUAACCAUUCUUUCAAAGCCAAGUUAAACAACAACUAAUAAUUCCACACACACACACAAAAAUAGAUCUGAGAAAAUUUUUUUGAAGAACAUACCUCGCGGCGCAAGGUUUCAAUUUAAAAGAGAUGAAAACUAAAUAAGACUGGAAUUGACAAGUUUGAAGCUCGGUAACAGCAGAAUCAACAAAACCCAGCUUCCAUUUCUAGAAAACUUGGAAAAUAACAAACUUCAAGUAGCCAAAUAAAGGCUGAAUUAGACAGAUUUGUACCAAAAGAAGCCAAAAUAAGCUGGUUCUAGCAGUAGAGCAGCAACAAACGAGCAACAAACACCCACGAAUUUGAGCAUCAACAGCCCCUUAGAUCCAGGGAAGAGGAGUCGGAACUUUAAAAAUUUAGCAAACGAUUUCUUCUCCAAAUCACUUCGAAAUCUGAUUUUGGUGCAGAUGCAAAUUAAAAAAAAAAACUUAACUAUACUUGGAGAGAACACAAAUGAAGAAAGAGGGCAAAUGGAACAUUUUCUGGUGAGCCGAUUUUUCUCUUGGGUGGGGAUGGCGCAAUCUGAUGUUUAGAGGUGAUGAAGGAAGGGAUUCCACCGUUGCUCUGUUUUUCGAAAGGGAGAGGUCUUUUGAUGGAUUUUUUGGGUUUAAGUAUUUGGGCUUGGGUCAAAGGAAGUUUUGGAUCAGAUUUGGGUAUAAGAUUUGGCCCAAAUUCAAAUUAAACUUUUU
rnacentral:lncRNA from 1 species